GAUUGUUAGGUGGUAUUUAUCUAACAUAAUGAAAUCUAUACCACAAAUUAAACUACAUGCACGUAUUUCUAAACCCUGUUACCAAUUAAGUGUUAAUAAGGUUGUAACGUUACAUAUAUUGUAUGUGUAAAUUGCAAUUAGAUAUUUAAUCAUAUACUCGCAACCAUGAUAUUGCAUAUUUAUUGAAAAUAACUUUGAUAGUUUUGGGAAUGCGCAUAUGUAUAUGAUGUUGACUCCUUAAUUACAACACGGAAUUAGUUUAAAUUACCUUAGUCCGUGAUUACUCAGAGACGUAUUAUACACGUUUCUGUUACAGUGCACAACUUGGCCUUUUUUGACGACUUUCUUUGGGCUGCCUCUUAUGUCUUAAUCGGACUCAUUGUGUCCGCACUGACGGCGUCAUUAAGUUAUCUCGUAUGUUCAUUUAUAAAUGCACAAACAAAAAUUGGGGCAUGCAAAAUUAUUUCAUAUGCGUUUUUAUAAGCAAAAAUAGUUAGUUUUAUGGCGCUUAUGGCGCCAAUUAUAGUAUAUCAUGACAACAGUUUGUCGAGGAUUUGAUUAAGAAUACGUUAAUAUUACGUACUGCGUGUGUGUUUAUUUCGUGUUUUUUUAUAUUUGCAUUGAAUUCAAAAUUACUGGUUAUAAAUCGGCAAAAUGUUGGCAAUUCUACUUUGUGAUAUUAAAGAAUAUUCAGAUAAAAAACAUUCCAAUAACUGUAUGUGUGAAAUAGGUAAGGUAAGGUAAGUCAAGGUAAGAACGAGAGGGAGAGAGACGACAGACAAAUAGGUGAAGGUAAGGUAAGAACGAGAGGAAGAGAGACAACAGACAAAUAGGUGAAGGUAAGGUAAGGUAAGAACGAGAGGGAGAGAGACAACAGACAAAUAGGUGAAGGUAAGGUAAGAACGAGAGGGAGGGAGACAACAGACAAAUAGGUGAAGGUAAGGUAAGGUAAGAACGAGAGG